GCCUGUGUGGCAUAGUGGUCUGAGUGUUGGACUAUGACUCUAGAGACCAGGAUUCAAUUCCCACUGGCU